UACAGAGGUCCCAAGCGUUGUUCGGAUUCAUUGGGCGUAAAGGGUGCGUAGGUGGCAGGGUAAGUUGGAUGUGAAAUCCCGGGGCUCAACCCCGGAACUGCAUUCAAUACUGCCCUGCUAGAGUACUGGAGAGGAGAUUGGAAUUCAUGGUGUAGCAGUGAAAUGCGUAGAUAUCAUGAGGAAGACCAGUGGCGAAGGCGGAUCUCUGGACAGUUACUGACACUGAGGCACGAAGGCCAGGGGAGCAAACGGGG
rnacentral:rRNA from 1 species